CAUGGGCUGUUGUGCUGGAGAGAACGAGAGCUACGAAGAGACUACAAUGCCUCUGACUUUUUCAUAGGACAGUUGGCCGAGGAAGACAAACAUAAAGAUGAAGUGCUUAAUUCAAGGUCACACAAUGUCGGGGAUGGACCUCCAGAUUUCCUUACUGGAAAACAAGCUCAGGGCUCCCACUGAUUGUACAUUAUGAGACGGAGUCUUGCUAUGUUGCCCAGGCUGGUCUUGAACUCCUCACCUCAAGCGAUCCUCUCGUCUUGGCCUCCCAAGUGUCAGGAUUACAGGCAUGUGCUAUCACACCCAACCUGAUACAUUGCCUUUAUAAAUUUUUUUUUCUUUAUUCUAAAAACCAGAAAAAACAAAACUGGAUACAUGUGCAGAACAUGCAGCAGGGAAUUUCUUCCACUUGCAGACCAAGUGUGUUGGGGACUUGAGAUGCGUACAUGAGUGUUUGUGAUGUUUCCUGCCGAAAGCACAGGUGAGACGUGGUCUUGUAACACAGUGGUUA
rnacentral:antisense_RNA from 1 species